rnacentral:snoRNA from 9 species
UGCUCGAGGAUGACACUCAUCCUUGCUCCCCGUGCCCCCAGGGGCUGUGGGCGACAUCGUGGCUGCCCCGGGCUGGGCCAGUUGGGCUGAUGCCCGGGGACUGAGGGCA